CAGUGGGGAAUAUUGGACAAUGGGGGCAACCCUGAUCCAGCAAUGCCGCGUGGGUGAUGAAGGCCUUCGGGUUGUAAAGCCCUUUUGGCGGGGACGAUGAUGACGGUACCCGCAGAAGAAGCCCCGGCUAACUUCGUGCCAGCAGCCGCGGUAAUACGAAGGGGGCUAGCGUUGUUCGGAAUUACUGGGCGUAAAGGGCGCGUAGGCGGCCUUGUGCGUCGAGCGUGAAAGGCCUGGGCUCAACCCGGGAAUGGCGCUCGAUACGACGAGGCUUGAGUGCAGGAGAGGAUGGUGGAAUUCCCAGUGUAGAGGUGAAAUUCGUAGAUAUUGGGAAGAACACCGGUGGCGAAGGCGGCCAUCUGGACUGCAACUGACGCUGAGGCGCGAAAGCGUGGGGAGCAAACAGGAUUAGAUACCCUAGUAGUC
rnacentral:rRNA from 1 species